UAUAGACGCAUCAGAAGUUCAUCAUCAGAAAUCUAAACUCACAGUCACCAUGACCUUCAUCAGCAUCUUCAUCUGGAUGUUAACUUGUUUCUGUUUCAGAGAAUCAAGAGGUGAAGUGACCGUCAUUCAGACACCUGCAGUCAAAUCUGUUCAUCUACGAGACACAGUUACUAUCACCUGUAAAACUAACCGUCAAGUCCCCCAGUGGAGUUAUCAGCCUUUAUCCUGGUACUUACAGAAACCUGGAAAAACUCCUAAACUCCUGAUUAAAAAAGCAAAUGAGUUACAGUCUGGAACUCCAUCAAGAUUCAGUGGCAGUGGAUCAAAAACAGAUUUUACUCUGAGCAUCAGUGAAGUUCAGACUGAAGAUGCAGGAGAUUAUUACUGUCAGAGUUAUCACACUAAUCCAGUGUUCACACAGUGA